CAGGAUGUGGAUUUGCAAAGUACUUUACAAUUACGUCCAAAAUAAAUUAAAUGCAGACUUGGAUUGCAGCAUGUGUGGAGGUCUGGUUUAAAUAUUGGAACAUUGAAAAGGAAGUAGAAACAAAUUCUCUCUGUAACGAUCAAUGAUAAAGACACAACAAGGAAAACCAGUCAACCAAGGUGGGACCCAUUAAAUUUCCUCCCCGCUACUGCACCUCCUAACAAACCAGCUGCAAUUGCAGCUGAGUCAUUGGAGGCUUCAACGAGUCAUGUAACUGAGAGGGCUGAAGAAGUUGAAAGUAGCAGUGGGACAUCAGAAGAAACGUAUAAUCUACCAUCCUCCUCCAGGCAAAUUACAAAUUCAGCCAUGCAGGAAGUUCCUUCCAAUCAAGAAGGUCCAGGCUUCUUCACUCAAAGGAGAACCCUGGCGGUACAAAAAUGUUCUUUCUGCUCCAACAGUAAAGAUAAAACAAAGGUGCCACCCCUCAGAGAGGUCCCAAUGGGGGAUGCACAAGGUGGAAUAGGAUAUGGAAAUGCACCCCUCACCUCUUCAGAAGUGAGGCAUUUUAGAAAGGAAAUGGAGAUAUCAUUCAGUGACCCAGUAGGUUGGUCAGAACAAUUUGACCAAUUCUUAGGGCCUAGGAUUUACCCUUGGGGAAAAUGAAAUUCAAUAAUGCAAACCCUUUUCUCUCCACAGGACAGAAAAGUUAUUUAGACUUCAGGGAUCAAUAUAUGGGACAGAGAACAUAAUUUAGGACCAACUGGAGAGAAGAAAUUACCAUUAACAGAUCCAGAAUGGAACCCUAGCUCAGAUGAGGGAAGAAAAUGCAUAGCAGAAUACAGAACCCGAAUUGUAAGGGGAAUAAGAGGCAGUCCCCAGAGUUAAUAACUUGAAGAAAGCCUUUGGUGAUGAACAAGAAAAAGAUGAGAGCCCAAUUGACUGUAUAACUCGCUUAAAGAAUAACAUCCAAUUAUAUUCAGAAAUAGAUUUAGAUAGUGAAGGAGGGAAGACAAUGUUCUAGGUCCACUUUGUGUUACAUUCUUGGCCUGACAUCAAACGGAAAUUAGAGAAAUUAGAUGCAUGGCCAGAAAGAAGUUUAGAUGAGUUAUUAGCUGAAGCACAGUAAGUUUAUGCCAGGUGAAAUGAAGAGAAAAUGAAGACUAAAGCUAAGAUGAUGGCUGCUGUCCAAAUUCCUAAACCAAUUAGGCAGGAUGGGGAGAAUAUUCAAUUAAAGAAACCUAUUUGCUUUUAUUGUAAGAAAGAAGACCAUAUGCAAUCCUGCUGUUUUAAGACAUUGAGGGACUUAAGAGAUUCUCCAAGUGGAGAAUCAACCCUCAGAGAACUGAGGGGGUCAGGGGCUCUUCUUCUUGGGGCACAAAAACCAUCUUCAAGAGCCCUUGAUAAAAUCAAGGAUAGGACCCCUAGAACAAUGAAUGGAAUUUUUAGUAGACACAGGAGCAGAGAGAUCUUGUGUAAUUGAAAAACCAAAUGGAUGUGCCAUAAGCAAAGACACUUUCAAUAUCUGUGCUGCUAAAGGGGAAUCCUUCCCCAUUCCCAUCAUUAUGAAUGUCACCAUAAAGGGUAAUGGACUAACCAGAAAAGGGAGAUUUGUUUUUCUACCUCCAGCAUGUAACAACUUAAUUGGUCAGGAAUUCCAGAUACCUUUGAAAGCUGGAGUUCCACAAGAAGGAAGGAUGAAGGUCAAAUUGGUUACUUUAUCCACACAAGAUGAACAACUGAUUAAUCCUACAGUGUAGGCCCAACCAGGUCGCUGGGAUAAAAUGAACAUUACACCCAUUGUAAUGAAUCUCCUUCCAGACAUUAAACCAGCAAAAGUACCCCAGCACCCCCUUACAAAGACCAAAAGGUAUGGGCUAAAACCCAUAAUAACUGAACUGUGACAUGAUAAUAUACUAGAGCCAUGUACUUCCACAUACAACACCCCAUUCUUGCUAUUAAAAAGCCUGACAAUAGUUACAGGCUAGUUCAAGACCUACGUGAAGUAAAUAAAAGAGUGCAAGCUGUGUGCCCGUUAGUACGAAACCCUUACACCUUGUUAAGUUAUCACCUACACACUCUUGGUUCUCAGUAACUGACCUGAAGGAUGCAUUUUGGUCAUGCCCUGUAGAUUCUCCUUCUAGACACCUGUUUGCCUUCACCUGGGAAGAUCCAGACACUGGAAGGAAACAGCAGCUGACCAGGACCUGGCUACCCCAAGGGUACACGGAGUUGCCCACACUCUUCGGUCAGGCCUUGGAGAGCCUGUUCAUUUCCUUUUCUCCACCCUCAGGAAUACAAGUAACACAGUAUGUAGAUGACAUAGUACUCUCCAGAGAGCAAGAACCCACUGUAAAAUUAGGCACCAUUCAAUUACUGAACCAUCUAGGAGAGAAUGGACUAAGAGUAUCUAAAUCCAAACUACAAUUUGUUAAACCGAAGUAAAAUAUUUCGCACAUGUAAUUGGUCAUGGUACCGAAAAUUGAGUACUGAAAGGAUAGAAGGAAUUUUAAAUUUACAACCUCCACAAAAAAAGAGCGAGGUUAGACAAUUAUUAGGCUUAAGGAGGUAUUGUAGAAUAUGGAUUGAUGAAUACACACAAAGUAUCACAAUUUUAUAUGAAAAAUUAACUACAUCAGAACCUAUUAAUUGGACCCAAGAGGAUAAUAAGAACUUAGAAAAUUUAAAGCAAAAGAUGAUUCAGACCCCAGUUCUCUUUCUUCCUUCACUAGAAGAAGAUUUUCACCUAUAUAUUAAACCUAUAUAGGAAUUACUUACGGGGUCUUGGCCCAAGAGUGGUCAGGAUUUCAUAAACCUGUAGCCUACUUGUCCAUAUUGUUGGUCCCUCUGUCCCAAGGAUGGCAAACAUGCAUCCAAUCAAUCGCUGCAGCAGCCAUCCUAGUAACAGCCAGCCAAAAACUUACAUUUGAGAGAAAUCUGAUAGAAUACAUACCACACUCCAUCCAAACCAUUCUUAAACAACGAGCAGCCGAAUGGCUAACAGACUCUCAUAUAAUACAAUAUGGGAGCACCCUCAUCCAUUCCACAAAUGUAACCCUGAAAACAAUUACCCACACCAAUCCCGCACAGUUCCUAUGUGGAAUUCCCCAAAAACAAGAUCUCAUGCACAACUGCAUAGUUUUUAUAAACCUGCAAACAAAAAUUCAAGAAGACCUCCUAGAGAGCCCAUUAGCUGAAGGAGAAAUCCUGUUCAUCGACGGAUCAUCAAGAGUAGUAAAUGGAAAGAGGUGCUCUGGAUACUCCAUCAGAGAUGGAAAACAACUGUACAUGUUAGAAAAGGAAAACUACCACCUUCCUGGUCUGCCCAGGUAUGUGAAUUAGAUGCUUUGGAAAAAGCAUUGCACAGACUAAACUAUUGGAACCAUUUAUACAGACUCUAAAUAUGCAUAUGGAGUAGUCCACACAUUCGGGAAAAGCUGGGCUGAAAGAGGGUUUCUCACAUCUAAGGGCAAAGACAUUUUACACAAAGAACUUAUAUUAAAAAUUAGAGGCACUUAAGUUACCGAAAGAAAUUGCAAUGGUACGUUCUCCAGGUCAUCAAAAGGGAACUCUGGAGAAACUAGAGGAAGCAUCCUAGCAGACCAUGCUGCAAAGGAGGCUGCUUUUGAGGGGGAAGUAAAGGUAUACAGAUUUUAUCCAAGAGACACACACCCGAGAGUACACUGGACAACACUCUUCCCAUCCCUAUUUUUAAAGACAGUGAAAAACAGAAACUCAUAUCACUAGGUGGAAAGGAAGAUUCUGAGGGACGGUGGCAUCCUCCUGAUGGCCACCAAAUGUUAAAUAAAGAGCUCACUCGAGAAAUUUUACAGAACUUCCACCAAGCCACGCACUGGGGAUCUAAAGCUUUAGCAGGUCACUUUCUUCAAAAUUUUGGAUGUCAGGGAAUUGAUGAAUUAGCUAACCAAAUUACCAUAGGUUGUAUAAUUUUCCAAAAAGUCAAUAGAAAAUUAAUGAGGAGAACGAGACCUGGAAGAAUUGAAAUUGCAAUUAGACCCUUCCAAAGUAUGCAAUUUGAUUUCACAGAAAUGCCCCAUGUCCAAAGAUGGAAGUAUUUCUUAGUGAUUGUAGAUCACCUUACCAAUGGGGUUGAAGCAUUUCCAACUGUUAAUGCCACUGCUCAAACAAUAAGUAAGGUAAUCCUAGAAUAGAUAGUCCCAAGAUAUGGAAUUAUAAAUAACAUUGAUUCAGACCAAGGUACCCAUUUUACAUCAUUAGUAUUGCAACAAUUGGCUCAAUAAUUUGGAAUAACUUGGAAAUUACAUACCCCUGGCACCCUCAAAGUUCGGGAAGGGUAGAACGCAUGAAUCAGACUAUUAGAACAACCCAGACCAAACUGAUGUUAGAAAUGAAGUGGACUUGGAUAAAGUGCCUACCCCUUGCCCUUCUCAGAAUCCAGAGCUAACCCAGAGCUGACUAAGGCUGUUCCCCAUGUGAAAUGUUAUAUAGGCUUCCCUAUUUAGCCACCCCGCAUCAAGUAACUGCCAAAGAGUGAGGAAAUAGAAAUGUGCAAAGGUAUAUUCAAAUGAUUGCCCAGAAUCUAAAAGACUUAAAGCAGAGAGGUCGUGUACCCCAGAACAUUCCUUUAGACUUCUAUUUACAUAAGAUAUGCCCCGGAGAGUAGGUACUUAUUAAAUGCUGGAAGGAACAAUCCCUGACUCCAUCAGGGGAAGGUCCUUUCCAAGUUCAACUGACCACAGAGACAGCCAUCUGAGCACAGGAAAAAGGGUGCACUUCCGUCAGCCGAGUAAAAGGUCCAGUAACACCACCACAAGAUAACGAGAAACCUCCAUGAACUACUCUCUACAACAGUCCUCCCCGUGUUAUCCCUGAAAUUAUUAUAUCAAUUGUUAUUCUCUCACUGUUUUACAGCAGAGAAUCUAAUGGUUAUUGUACUUACUAUUUAACAAGUUAUUACGAAUUUUUAAUUCCAUUUCUCCACCAGUGAAGAGUAUCAUUUCCCUGAGAAAUUACUUUCCAAUAACUAUAUCUUUUUUUUUUUUUUUUUUUUUAAAUUUCCUUGGGAGAAACAACAUGAAUAGAACCAAGGCCAGUUCCAGGUAGGACUUUCCUGCAUCCAGGUACACUCCCAUGACAACCAAGGGGUCUGAACCCAGUCGAAAAACCAGAGAGCUUGAAAGGUCUGCACCACCUAUCAGAGAGUUCCACGGCACUUCAAUCUUCCCAUUGACCCUUAGGGAAUGGAAGGUUGAACUGGUAACUUGAUGCCACAGCAAUGGUGCAUACUAAUGAGAGAGCUUCCCAUCAAAAACCUCAGAGAUAUCAUCCCACCCCAGUGACAGCACACUCUGGGAAAGAAGAUCUUACCCCAUCAUCUACUAGCACCAAUCACCUGAGACUGUGGGGGCGGAACUGCAAGUACAGACUGAGGGGAUCGAGAACAUCAAAGGGGCAGCCUGGCCUGAAGAGCUGUCUUUGCUGUCUUUUACUGUUCCUGGGACUGUGACUUAGCUACAGCAGGGGACCCCACACUGCAGAUUUUGGUCAAUAUCUCUUUUUAGAGACCUUUUUCCAGAUUUGAGGGCAGACUAAGUGCAUUCACUGCAAUGCCCUCGGGUUCUUGCCUUGGGGCCAAACGCCAGUUCAGCUAGAGAUUUCCUCAAUCCUUGGGCUUGGGACUUUAUCCUUUUUUCUUUCUUUCCUUUCUUCUUUUUCCUUACCUCCCUUUUUGUUUUUCCUCUUUAAAUAAACACCCUAUUUUUGUUCAAA